CGGGGCGUAGCGUAGCCUGGCUAGCGCGUCUGAAUGGGGUUCAGAAGGUCGAGAGUUCGAAUCUCUCCGCCCCGACCA
rnacentral:tRNA from 2 species